ACAAGGCUGUUGCUGCUGUGUGUUGCAUUCUACACGUUCACAGCUAACACAUUUAUGAGUUCUGUUUGAACCAUGAUCCAUUAAUGUUAAUCUAAAACAAUAUAAUUGAAUUGGUUGUAGAGGAAACCAUAGGCGUACGUGAUUACCAGGAUCUUCAUCCGUUUGUGUUGCUGUUGGAAAACACUAUCACUUGAAUGAACCCUGCAGCGGUGGUGAUGGACGGCAGAGAGCCUCACAAUACCAUGAGUGGGCUUGCUCUCAGAGGAAAGGAAGAAAUAAAUAGUAUCCUUUUGACAAGCUGAAGUCUACCAGCAUAUAUUCAAUCGUGAAUACCUGCCUGUCCUUGAAAAGCAAAGGUUCAGUUCAGGGAAAUUAUUGUGGAACAAGGUACCUUAUUUUUGUAGAUUUGGGCUGUAUUUACAAAUGUAAAAUACUUGGUAUUCAAUGCAGUCGCUUGUCAAUUCUGAUUGAAUUUAGUUUUGCAGUACACAUCACUUGACACUAGAGGCCAGGUAUGUCUUCAUCUCACUGUAACUGAGUCAAAGACCCUAAUAUUGUUUCCUUCCGUUUGUAUGUUGUAACCAUAAUUUAAAUAUUUGUUGUAGUUUGGUUCUUUAAUUGCUUUAAUGGGAAACUGAAACCACUGGGCAAAUUAGUGUUUGCUAUUCGCCAAUUCUUCAAAUUAUUGGUGAAUAAUUGGGUGACAUCAAGCAGAGUUACCUGUCGUACAGCUGUGUGUUAACUCUCUCGCGGUUUACUUUGUUUUCUCAUUAGGUUGGUCCCAUGUUGUUGGUGACUUGGACGGUGAGCAAAGACCACAAGAGCAGGAGGAAUCCCGCACCAGGGAGAGCAACGAUAGAACCUAGCAGCUGCUCACCAAGCGGUGUCAGGGGACACCUGCCGGUCAUAAGCCAACAAACUCGGCUGGACCUGUGAGGAGAUGGUCAACCGCUACGUGGUGUGUUGGUGAAAUUUACGUUGAGGAACGACCACAAGAGCAGUAGGAAUCCAGCACCACGGAGAGCAGCCAUGGAAACUAGGAACAACCAUGGAAGCACUGUUGAGAAAACUGUUGGAGGCGAACAGGGCACAGCUAGCCAGUAGCCUGGAGCUGCUGGGAGUGCUGACAGCCGGUCAUGUCGGCAGGGCUGCAGGUGCGGCAGUGUCCUGCCCAGGGCCCCAGCAGGUUUGUCUCGCCGCAAGAGACGCAGCCGCUGCCGCAAGAGAGACGCAGCCCCCGCCGCCGCAAUAGACGCAGCCCCCGCCGCCGCAAGAGACGCAGCCGCCGCCGCCGCAAGAGACGCAGCCGCCGCCGCCGCAAGAGACGCAGCCGCCACAAGACCGUAGGUCUGGCAACCUGCUGGCUCCACCUCCAAGCCAUAUAUGGACUUCCUCACUUUAACGAGGCGAGCCUGGGGAUCAUUAAGCAGGGGUGCUUGUGCUUAAAAGAGCUAGCAAAUCACAGACAGGGGAGGUUAGAGCUGGUGCUGGUGCUAGGGCUAUCACAGGACAGGCAGGAUCUGUGUGAUCACCUGGAAGCACGGAUCGGGCUGAGGGAAAGAGAUGGGUGGAAAGAAUUGUACUGUUUCAUAUAAGAGGUGGAUGACCCUUUUCCCACCCUUGUUGGAUUUGGGAGGUAAAUAAACCAUUUGGCUUUGGACCUGCUCUCGGUGUUGUCAUAAUAUCUGUUCGACUUGGUAGCGUGGAAACCCCACACCCA